UGGAGUAGAUUUUUUCUAGUCAACGAUCAAUAUGAAAUUAACAAGAUAAUGUAAAAAAGCAAUUUAAGAGUAACAAAAAGUCAACAAUAAUCCAUCGAAAAAUAUCAAAUAAUUGCAAAGGAGAUCCGGAAGCUUGCUUCCACGGCAAGAUUUGCUGGAGCAACACUUCAACGGUAAUGCUAGAUAUAGCCAGAUCUGUGUGAAUCAAAUGGGUAACAUGUGAAAUCAGUUCAAAGCAGUGGUGACCAUUCAUACCCAAAACAACAAAUAAAAAAAAUAGAGGGGUAAGGGGGAGGGAAAUACGGCGGCGGUGGGGUUGGAGGAUUGCCAGUAUCACCUCCGGCGAGCCAGCGAUAGAGCUGCGAAAAAAUAGGGCGGCUGAACUGGUUUAUUCGGCUAGAUCCCGAUGUUUGUGGGUUGUUGGGUGAUGGAAAAGGGGAGAUCGAGAGGGAGAAGGGAGAUGUGGUGGUGGUGGUCGCCGGCAGAAAGUUCGCGAGUGUAGACAAUGAAAAUGGAAAGGAUAGAAAGAAAGAGAGGUGAAGAAAGAGGCUGCUGAUGGGACA
rnacentral:lncRNA from 1 species